UACGUAGGGUGCGAGCGUUGUCCGGAAUUACUGGGCGUAAAGAGUUCGUAGGCGGUUUGUCGCGUCGUUCGGGAAAACUUGGGGCUUAACUCCGGGCCUGCAGUGGGUACGGGCAGACUAGAGUGCGGUAGGGGAGACUGGAAUUCCUGGUGUAGCGGUGAAAUGCGCAGAUAUCAGGAGGAACACCGGUGGCGAAGGCGGGUCUCUGGGCCGAUACUGACGCUGAGGAGCGAAAGCGUGGGGAGCGAACAGG
rnacentral:rRNA from 1 species